UUGCGAUGCUUCUCCAUGUUG
rnacentral:piRNA from 1 species